rfam:Aedes albopictus isolate Foshan contig142775, whole genome shotgun sequence.
UGUUCUGUGGCUUAGUUGGUUAAAGCGCCGAUUUAGCGAAUACGGAGUCGUGGGUUCGAAUCCCACCAGAACGC